GACGAACGCUGGCGGCGUGCCUAACACAUGCAAGUCGAACGGAAAGGCCCUGCUUUUGUGGGGUGCUCGAGUGGCGAACGGGUGAGUAACACGUGAGUAACCUGCCCUUGACUUUGGGAUAACUUCAGGAAACUGGGGCUAAUACCGGAUAGGAGCUCCUGCUGCAUGGUGGGGGUUGGAAAGUUUCGGCGGUUGGGGAUGGACUCGCGGCUUAUCAGCUUGUUGGUGGGGUAGUGGCUUACCAAGGCUUUGACGGGUAGCCGGCAUGAGAGGGGGACCGGCCACAUUGGGACUGAGAUACGGCCCAGACUCCUACGGGAGGCAGCAGUGGGGAAUAUUACACAGUGGGCGGAAGCCUGAUGCAGCAACGCCGCGUGCGGGAUGACGGCCUUCGGGUUGUAAACCGCUUUCGCCUGUGACGAAGCGUGAGUGACGGUAAUGGGUAAAGAAGCACCGGCUAACUACGUG
rnacentral:rRNA from 1 species